CCUCUCUUGCCCUACCUUGCUUUCAUCUUCUUUAUAUGUCUUUUUAAAAUAUAUUUUGGUUGGUAAGUUCCUUAUGUAUCUGUGUUGGCCUCUUUGGACAGCUCCUCGUUACCUAGUGCCUUAAGGUUUGCAAAGAGCUUUAUAGAUUAUUUCUUUCGAUCUACAACCCUGGGAGAAAUCACGUGCUGGCAGCCUCUAAAUCUGACUCCUUUGAAACCUGAGUCUUUCUUAUGGACAGUGACUGCAACCUUCAAUUUCCUUGUAUAAAAGCGACCUCUGCCUAAAUCCUUUAACGAUUUAGAAAUGUCACCCAACUCUCUGCUGGACCAUAAGCUUCAUCUCCUGACUUCAGGCAUUUUCACUCGUGGGCCCCUAUACCUGGAACUCUCCCCUUCUUCGUUUCUGACUGCUAGUCUCCUUGGCUUCCUUCAAGUCUCAGCUAAAGUCCCAUCUUCUUCAAGAAACUUUUACCAGAAUACUAGUGCCUUCCCUCUGCUGCAGGAUGCCUAGGUCUGAACAGGCAGUUCUCAGGAGAAAAAGUCCAAGCUAUCUGUAGCCAUAAGAAAGAAUGCUCCAAAUCAAGAAUAAUUAGAGAAUGAAAAUGAAAGCAACCCUGAAGUUCCACC